rnacentral:rRNA from 1 species
AGAGCGAACGCUGGCGGCAGGCUUAACACAUGCAAGUCGAACGGAUCCUUCGGGGGUUAGUGGCGGACGGGUGAGUAACACGUGGGAACGUGCCUUUUGGUUCGGAACAACUCAGGGAAACUUGAGCUAAUACCGGAUGUGCCCUUCGGGGGAAAGAUUUAUCGCCAUUAGAGCGGCCCGCGUCUGAUUAGCUAGUUGGUGAGGUAAAGGCCCACCAAGGCUACGAUCAGUAGCUGGUCUGAGAGGAUGACCAGCCACAUUGGGACUGAGACACGGCCCAAACUCCUACGGGAGGCAGCAGUGGGGAAUCUUGCGCAAUGGGCGAAAGCCUGACGCAGCCAUGCCGCGUGAAUGAUGAAGGUCUUAGGAUUGUAAAAUUCUUUCGACCGGGACGAUAAUGACGGUACCGGAGAAGACGCCCGGCUAACUUCGCGCCAGCAGCCGC